AGGGUUAAAACCGAGGGGCCGAGCUCCCGGUGGCAUUUGCCCUCCUCCGAUAAGGAGCCCCGAGCCGGGACUUUGUUCCCCCCUCCCUCCCCGAGCUGUCACCCGCCGCGGCUCUCUGCCACCGUUUCACAACCCGACCGGGCUCCGCCAGACCCAGGGCAGCUCCCGGGGGGAACCCACGGCGGGACCGGCAGCCCCUUCCAGCCGGCGGCGGGGGAGGAGGAGAAGGCGCCAUUCCCGACGGCGGGAAUCACGCGCUGAGCAGCCAUGGAGAAGAUGCAGCAGGUCGUUGGGCGGGCGAGAGCCGCCUUCAACUCGGGCCGUUGCCGCUCGCUGGAGUUCCGGCUGCAGCAGCUGAAGGCCCUGGAGCGGAUGGUGCAGGAGAAGGAGAAGGAGAUCCUGGCAGCCCUCAAGGCGGAUCUGCACAAGAGUGGGCACAAUGCAUAUAGCCACGAAAUCCUGGGCGUGCUGGGGGAGCUGGCCCUGACCAUGGACAAGCUGCCGUCCUGGGCAGCCCCACGGCCUGUGAAGAAGAACCUACUGACGAUGCGGGACGAGGCCUACAUCUACCCCGAGCCACUGGGGGUGGUGCUGAUCAUCGGGGCCUGGAACUACCCCUUUGUCCUGGUCAUGCAGCCUUUGAUCGGGGCCAUUGCAGCAGGCAAUGCCGUGGUGGUGAAGCCAUCAGAGAUCAGCGAGAACACGGCUCAGCUGGUGGCUGAUCUCCUCCCCCAGUACCUUGACCGGGAGCUGUACCCCGUGGUCACUGGAGGAGUACCCGAGACAACAGAGCUGCUGACCCAGAGGUUUGAUCACAUCCUCUACACCGGCAACUCCGCAGUGGGCAAAAUCGUGAUGGCAGCAGCUGCCAAGCACCUGACGCCCGUCACCCUGGAGCUGGGUGGGAAGAGCCCCUGCUACAUCGACAAGGACUGUGACCUGGCCGUCGCCUGCAGGAGGAUAACAUGGGGGAAGUACAUGAACUGUGGGCAAACCUGCAUCGCCCCAGACUACAUCCUCUGCGACCCGUCCAUCCAGAGCAAAGUGGUGGAGAACAUCAAGGCAACUCUGCAGGAAUUCUAUGGGGAAGAUGUGAAGUCAUCUCCAGAUUACGAAAGGAUCAUCAACAAGCGUCACUUCAAGAGGAUCAUGGGCCUGCUGGAAGGGCAGAAUAUCGCUUACGGAGGACAGACUGAUGAGGCCUCCUGCUUCAUAGCACCGACUAUCCUCACCGACGUUUCUCCGGAGUCAAAGGUGAUGGAGGAGGAAAUCUUUGGGCCAGUGCUCCCCAUUCUGCCCGUGAAGAACGUGGAUGAAGCCAUUGAGUUCAUCAACCGUCGUGAGAAGCCCCUUGCCCUCUAUGUCUUCUCAAACAACAAGAAGUUAAUCAAAAGAGUAAUCUCUCAGACCUCCAGUGGGGGUGUUACUGGAAAUGAUGUCAUCAUGCAUUUCUUCCUCUCAACCUUGCCCUUUGGUGGUGUGGGUAACAGCGGGAUGGGCGCCUACCACGGCAAGCACAGCUUUGAGACCUUCUCCCACCGCCGCGCCUGCUUGAUCAAGGACCUGAAGAUGGAGGUUGUGAACAAACUCCGGUACCCACCUGGCAGCCAGAAGAAGUUGGAUUGGGCCAAGUUCUUCAUCCUGAAGCGGUCUAGGAAGGGCCGUGUGUGACUGGCCAUCUUGGCCCUGCUGGGGAUUGUGGCAGCUGUGGUGAUAAAGAAUCACCAGUCUGUGCUGAAGAGAAAAGCCCUCUUGAUUGUGCUGGCUGUUCAGAGGCUGGGCUGGCUCAGUGAGUGGUAAGGAGGAGCAGGUCUCAGAGCACUCCUGUGGCUGUCACAGUGAGAUGGUUUACUACUGAAGAGAGGAGAAGGCGCCAUGUGCAAGUCACACUCUGAGAGCUCACUUUGUGUCCGUUUCCUUAAGCUGAGAAGUCUUUUUUUUUUUUCUUUUUUUUUUUCCUUUUCUACUGGGUUAUUUCAGUGAGCUGUCACACACACAGAGCAGCCUUAGAGAGGCACUAACCAAGAGAAGGCUUGGACUCCUGUUUACUAAAAAGCCGUGCUGAAAACAGAGGGACCAGUGGGUACAAGCUCUCAAAAGGAGGACUGCAGAGCAAGAAAUACCAGUCCCUACCUCCACCCCAUGCCCUGCAGAGCACUGCUUCCACGGAAACACGCACACUGUGUCUUGCACCAGACCUCUUACCUUCCUCCAGUGACAAACAGGAGCUGAAAUUUCAGCUGCGAUUAGGUUUUUGUGUUUUCCCUGCUGUUUUUGGGAUGGUCUGUCUUCUGUUGUGCUCCAAAACAUCACCCUCUUGGUGACAAGUCUGAGGCUGUGCUGGCUGAUGGUUUUUUGCCGACAGGGAUGGUGAUGAAUAAACCCAGUGAGGUCCCUUUGUGUUAAAUUGAGGUAAAAUAUUCGUGGAUCCCUAUGAGCCAGAAUCGUCCACAGCUGGUCAGGAGGUGCAGGCUGACUCCAUUUUUGGGGGCUCUGGGUUUCAUCAUGUGCCCAUAAGAAUUAUUUGGCAGUUAGAAAAUGACAAAGGUGAUACCUGCGCCACCUGUGUUUUGCUGAUAAGGGCAUGUUGUGUUCAUACAAAGGAAGUUUCAGGCCUGUUUAGAGAAGAGGGAAUCGCAGAGUACCCUGUGGUGGGUCUGCCCAGGUGGGUGCCCAAGCCCUGCGCAGCCGCUCAACUCGCUCACCCCAGUGGGAGAGGGUAAAAGAGAAAACAUGUAGGUUGAGAUGAAGUUGGAUUGGUAAAAUGAAAUUUGGGCAUGUAAGGUAGCAAAUUAAGGAAUGAAUUCACUACUUCUCCUUGGCAGGCAGAUGUUCAGCCAUCCCCAGGAAGGCAGGGCUCCAUCACAUGUAGCAGUGACUUGGGAAGACAGAUGCUGUAACUUCCAAUGUCCCCUCACCUUCCUCUUCUUUCCCCCCAGCUUUUAUCUGUGAAGGCAAUAUCAUACGGCCUGGAAUAUCCCUGUGGUUAGCUGGGGUCACCUCUCCCAGCCGUGUCCCCUCCCUAAUUCUUGCCCCCCGCCCCCAGAGCGCUGUUUGGCACAGCCAAACCCCAGGUGUGUCACUGACACUGUUCUGCUCACAAAUCCAAAGCACUGCACCAUCCUGCUAUGAAGAAACUUAGCACCUAUGAUUAAAAUUAACUUCAUCCCAGCCAAAACCAGUACAAACCCGUUCCUGGUCCGACUCCUCCGAGAGAAAACAAUUACUGAAAAGAGUGUGUACUCCUUUGCGUUUUUGCUUCUUGGGUCUGCUAUAAUCUUGCACUGGGAGAUCAUAUGGGGCUUGUUCUAGCUUGGGGAGAGGAUGCUGGAGAAAUUUAAUGUGAAAGGACCUUAGAAAUAUUAAUGUUUAAAGAAGGUAAAUUUAAAAAGUAUUAUUAAAUGCAAUUACUCACUCUAGAGUAGAAAAUUAUAUUUACUGUGCAAUAGAUGGGAUUUCUUCAUGUCUGGUGAAAAUCCUUGUGCCUAAACCUUUUUAAUGAUAUAUUUUGCAAGUACUAAAUAAACACUGAGAAUUUCAAUAAUAAA